rnacentral:tRNA from 1 species
GCUCCCAUAGCUCAAUUGGAUAGAGCAACUGCCUUCUAAGCAGUAGGUUCCAGGUUCGAACCCUGGUGGGAGUGCCA